ensembl:lncRNA
AAUUGGAAACGUCAUCCAAACAGUGAAGCCAGUUGAAGGACAUGCAUGUAGAUGUCCCGUCCAGAAGAAGAGGACUCCACGGCACUGCAGCAGGACCUUCAUGGCCUUCUGCUACAGUGACCCAGGCUGGAGCCGUGUGAGGAUUCCAAAGGGUUCCAAUGACCCCAACGUGAUGCUGUGUAAAAUGACAUGGGGAGAAAUGAGGAAGGGAUUGAUUCAGGACGGCCAAGGAGGGAAUUCUUGAGGCUGCUGAUGGAGACCAUGGCCAGGUCCCCCAUGUUUGAGGGAGAAGAAAACAGCAAGAACUCUUGACAGUGCUGGUAAUGACCAUUUUCAUUUAUGGGAACAGCUUUUAGCCUUUGAACUGAUUUACAAUUUAUUUAAUGGCCGAGUGUGUCAGGACUGUACAUAUGAGCCAGCACACAGAGACACCACACAGGACACAGAAUAUCAGGUCAAGUCAUGUAAUAAGAGUUAAUCCUCAGAGGGAGACGAACAGUUGAGGCUGAGCUUGGAGGUUCUGGGAAGGGGCUGAAGCCUGAGGGAAUCAGGCAGUGGCAGAUCCGACGGAGUUCCACAGUGGAAUCCAGGUGAAGCAGGUGGGGGCGUGUGAGUGGCGUGAGGCAGGUAAGAAGCAGGUAAACAGCAGCGAUGUGACGAAGCUGGUGUCCAGUAAUCCAGGAAGCUUUCUAUGAAGCGCGUGUCGAGGCUCGUGGUGAUGACGUAUGACGUAUAACCCCUAACGCAGGCGUGUCAAACUCACGUACCCAGUGGGCCAAAAUGUGGAAUGAAACCAACAAACCUUUUAAUAUGAACCCAAACAAGUUUUACUUUAACAUUGAAUCAACCAUUCAGAGAACGUUAUUAUUGCUCAGUUUGCGAAACACGGAUCUAAUCUGAAGCCAGAUUCCUGGCACCUGUUCUUGGAUGAUAGUUCAUCAAUGUCUGGGCUCAGGCUCUGAGCUGAGGAAACCCUCACCAAGGUGCUCAUCAGCCAGACGUCUCCUGUGAGAUGUUUCUAUCUUCAUCCAGGAGAAACGUAGCUCACAUCCUUAGUUACAGACACGUGGGCUCCACAGACAAGACAAACAGGUAAACAAAUAUACUUUCUUAUCGCCCUUUUUGGGAACGUGACAGUGUGGUCAGGUUGGUGGUUCCAUCUUUGCAUGUUUUAUUCUUUUACUUUUCACAUCACAAUCCUCUCCCCAAUUUGUCUCCACUUUCCCUUUUGACCCCGCCAUUGUAUCAUAAAGACAGACACCGUAUUAAUACGUUCAUAAGUUAUGUAUCACGCGUCACAAACAUCGUUCCACAGAUGCUGGUUUUGAUCCUGAAAGACUCUUGUUGAGCCGUGAG